GGCCGCUGCGGCCGCGCCGCGCCUGGUGGGAUUCCGUAGACCCCGCGGGACACCGACGGCUUCGGAACGCUCCGGGUGUUAACAUCCGCGGUCGAGGGGGCAGGUUCGUGUGCCUGGCGAAGCACGUAAAGCCCAAGAAGGGGACCUCGAGGGCGGAAACAGAAGCUUUAUCAGCGGGUGGCUACCCAGAAAACUUCUGAAUCGGAGGAGCUAGGCGCGAACAGAUUUUGCAGUCGUGACUCCUGCCACUUUUUUUUUUAGAGGAGAACGCGACACUCUACACCACUUUUUCUAGACAAAUCUCAGCGCUCCAGAGAUAACUCUGAGAACAGAGAGGUCAUCUAGUUUUAAGAAAAACCGGAUCACUAAAUCGUCUGCGUUACUCAUUUCGGAAACCACAGCAAUUUGAUUUGAGCGAUACGAUGAGGUCUCGCCCUCGUGGUUUACGUUGUGUCAUUUUGGAAAAGUUCUUAAUCAAGUUUUUAGAAUUGGAAAGUUUAGGUAUUCCAGUUUAGACUUCUCGUGUAUAAAUAGAAUUUUUAAAAGGGGGCUCAGAGAGUGAAGUGAUUUGGUCAAACAGUUAAGGAAAGCUAGAGGAAGAAGAGAAGGAAGGGAGAUGGAGCCACGAGGGAAGGCUGGCAAACGGAACUUGACAUUUUUUAAUACCAAAGGCAAGGAUUUCAGAGCUUCUUCUUUAGGAAUCAGUAGGAUUUGUCCAAUAGGACACAUGUCACCAAAAUGACAAGCAGAAUAUGAUGAAAUGACACAAAUUGUAUAUUCUACAGAAAUACCUAGAUAUAGUAAGGUACAACCUGAUUUGCAAACACCUUUGAAAGUCCGAUCACUUGCUGCCCGGCCCCUUGAAAACUCCAAGACCAUGAUUUCCAGUGAGCUCUAGCCAGAACCAGCCUUUCCCCGGCCAUUGUAUGGCCUCCAAGGGGAAAUCAUCCAGCAUCCUUCCCUGCUCCCCCCACCAAUUCUUUCUUCUUGUGUAGAUUAAUAAUGCUCACAUCAGGUAUCUUCCUCUUCCUGUAUUUCCUGACAAGUACCAUUCAGAUGCUGAAACUGAGGCUCAAACAAAUGACAUGGCAGAGACGAGGUUCCAACGCCCAAGGCUGUGCCUGCUGCACCCCAGAGAGAAAAAAGAGCUAAUCCGUGGAAGCUAAGAGAGAAAACUGAAGACCUUCACAGAGGUCUGUAGUCCUUCAGGUCUGAGAGACCACCAUGGGAAACAAUAAAGAAGAGGAAGAGAAGGAAAGAGCUUUGUCACUUCUGACUAUACAUCUCUUGGUGGGGACUGGCCUGUGAUUUUCCCUCAAGAGACAAAUUUGAUCACAACACCCUGCUGUUUAAAGCUCUUUGCUGAUAACAGGAGCAAAAUCAACAAUAAUAAUGAACAGGCACUUACUGAGCUCUUUUAUGUGCCAGGAACCAUACCUGCAUUAUCUUUGGGUAUUUUAUCCAAAAACUCCUUGGUUGUUUGAUGUCAUUAUCCCCAUUAUAAAGAUGAGGAAAGUGAGGCCCAGGCAGGUUAAAGAACUGCUCAGAGUUAGCUCAUUUCAGAGGUGGCGUUGCAACGCAGGCAGUCUGCCCUUGGAAGGCGUUCCUACCCAGCUCUUCAGGGGUCUUCUUCAGGGGCUCCCUGUUGCCUGCAGUGUCCCAUCUGUAUUCUUUAGCAGGGGCACAAGCCCCCACACAAUCUGGCCCUGACUCACCAUCUGCCAUGACCCUUUGCACACCUGCCAUCUGAAGGUCAUUGAAUCAUUGAAAACAUGCUGUUGGGUGUGCCUGUGUCUGUGAAGAGAGUGUUCCCCUCAGCCCCAAAUGCCUUUCCCUCCCAAGCCACUUGACAUACUCAUCUUCUGGAGCUCGGCCAAACAGCACUUCUGUGGUCAGUGAAAUUCAGUUCAGUGCAUAUUAAUUAAGCAUGUACUUUGUUCUGAACCCCAAGCGAGGCACUGAAAGUUUAAUGAUGUGAAAGAGACAUGGGUUUCCUGCCUUCAAGGGAGCUUCUGAUUAUUAGAGAGAUGAGCGUUCUGAUCAGGGGUGUCCAGGCUGCAGGGAGCAGGUGGUAGAGGCCAAGGCUGACACUCCUGGAAAUCAGGACAGGAGCACAGAUGAGAAAAGUGGGCACCAUCACUCAGUCUCCCUUGUAGCUGUUGCACGUCUUCACAUUUGAAGACGUGGCAUCUUCACGUCUCUGUCUGCUGCUGCUGCUAAGUCAUUCUUGCAAGUAAGUAUGUCAAUAUUAGUUUAUAUGUAUAGUAUGCUUUAUAAAUCUUUUGAGCAGUAUCCAAGAAAUACCAAGUUUGGGAAGAAAAAUGUGUUCUUCAUUAGCGAUUUCCACAUGAGAUCCCGUGCCGUGAGCCUUGCUAGAAGAGAUGCGUGUUACAGCUUCGGGGCAGCUGGAAAGUUGAUCUUUCAUCAGGCGCAGUGGGCUCUGCUGAAAACCAAGGCUUCCUCUCCCACACCGCCGUGGGGAUGUGAAAUGGCACCACGACUGUGGAGAGGAGAUCAGCGGCUCCUCCAGAUGUUCAACACAGAGUUAUCACGUGACCCAGCAAGUCACUCUUUGUGUGUACCCAACAGAAUUGAAAACAUCUGUCCACACACAAACGUGUCCAUGAAUGUUCACAGUACCAUUAUUCCUAAUAGCCAAAGAGUGGGGGGGGGAAGCAAAUGUCCGUCAACUACAGAUGGUUUAACAGAAUUUGGUGUUAUAGUAUACCCAUGCAGUGGAGUGUCAUUAUUGUUGGGCAAUAAAAAGGAAUGAAGUAUUUGCACAUGCUACAAUGUGGAUGAACCUUGAAACCAAAAUGCUACAUAACAAAACCCAGACUCAAAAGGCCACGUAUUAGGUGACUCAACCUAUGUGAAAUGUCCAGAAUAGGAGACUUUGCAGAGAUAGGAAGGUGGUUAACAGGUGCCA